rnacentral:rRNA from 1 species
UAAUAGUGUAUAUUAAAGUUGUUGCAGUUAAAAAGCUCGUAGUUGAAUGUUGGUGUCGAACGAGCGGUCAGCUUCGGCUGUACUGCUCUCUCGACUCCUUCCUUCUGUGGACUACGUCGCACUUUACUGUGUGGCGCUAGGACGCAGAUCGUUUACUGUGAAAAAAUUAGAGUGUUCAAAGCAGGCCGUACGCUUGAAUACAUUAGCAUGGAAUAAUGGAAUAGGACGUCGGGCCUAUUUUGUUGGUUCUAGGACCGUCGUAAUGAUUAAUAGGGACAGUUGGGGCCGUUUAUAUUCCGUAGUCAGAGGUGAAGUUCUUGGAUUUACGGAAGAUAAACUACUGCGAAAGCAUUCGACAAGGAUGUUUUCGUUAA